rnacentral:rRNA from 1 species
GAUGAACGCUGGCGGCGUGCCUAAUACAUGCAAGUCGAGCGAACAGACGAGGAGCUUGCUCCUCUGACGUUAGCGGCGGACGGGUGAGUAACACGUGGAUAACCUACCUAUAAGACUGGGAUAACUUCGGGAAACCGGAGCUAAUACCGGAUAAUAUAUUGAACCGCAUGGUUCAAUAGUUAAAGACGGUUUUGCUGUCACUUAUAGAUGGAUCCGCGCCGCAUUAGCUAGUUGGUAAGGUAACGGCUUACCAAGGCAACGAUGCGUAGCCGACCUGAGAGGGUGAUCGGCCACACUGGAACUGAGACACGGUCCAGACUCCUACGGGAGGCAGCAGUAGGGAAUCUUCCGCAAUGGGCGAAAGCCUGACGGAGCAACGCCGCGUGAGUGAUGAAGGUCUUCGGAUCGUAAAACUCUGUUAUUAGGGAAGAACAAAUGUGUAAGUAACUAUGCACGUCUUGACGGUACCUAAUGAGAAAGCCACGGCUAACUACGUG